CAGUCGCCGCGGUAAUACGUAGGGUGCGAGCGUUAAUCGGAAUUACUGGGCGUAAAGCGUGCGCAGGCGGUUUUGUAAGACAGGCGUGAAAUCCCCGGGCUCAACCUGGGAAUGGCGCUUGUGACUGCAAAGCUAGAGUGCGGCAGAGGGGGAUGGAAUUCCGCGUGUAGCAGUGAAAUGCGUAGAUAUGCGGAGGAACACCGAUGGCGAAGGCAAUCCCCUGGGCCUGCACUGACGCUCAUGCACGAAAGCGUGGGGAGCAGACAGGAUUAGAUACCCCCGUAGUCCCUGUCUCUUAUAC
rnacentral:rRNA from 1 species